rnacentral:rRNA from 1 species
AUUGAACGCUGGCGGCAGGCCUAACACAUGCAAGUCGAACGAGUGGCGGACGGGUGAGUAAUGUCUGGGAAACUGCCUGAUGGAGGGGGAUAACUACUGGAAACGGUAGCUAAUACCGCAUACCAUCAGAUGUGCCCAGAUGGGAUUAGCUUGUUGGUGGGGUAACGGCUCACCAAGGCGACGAUCCCUAGCUGGUCUGAUAGGAUGACCAGCCAAGGUGGAACUGAAACACGGUCCAGACUCCUAGGGGAGGCAGCAGUGGGGAAUAUUGCACAAUGGGCGCGAGCGUGAUGCAGCCAUGCCGCGUGUAUGAAGAAGGCCUUCGGGUUGUAAAGUACGUUCAGAGGGGAGGCGUUACCCGCAGGAGAGGCGCCGGCUAACGCCGUGCCAGCCGACGCGGUAAUUC